rnacentral:rRNA from 1 species
UACGGAGGGGUGCAAGCGUUGUCCGGAUUUAUUGGGUUUAAAGGGUGCGUAGGCGGCCCGUUAAGUCAGUGGUGAAAGCCUCCAGCUCAACUGGAGAACUGCCAUUGAUACUGGCGGGCUUGAGUACAGACGAGGUUGGCGGAAUUGAUUGUGUAGCGGUGAAAUGCAUAGAUACAAUCAAGAACACCGAUUGCGUAGGCAGCUAACUAGGCUGUAACUGACGCUGAGGCACGAAAGCGUGGGGAGCGAACAGG